rnacentral:sRNA from 1 species
GUUUUUCUUCACUGAAAUAAUAUAAACAAUUCAUAAAGGAGGAGAGAAUAACAUAAUUAAGGAAACGUUUCUGUGUAAAGAAAUUUUGUAAGUUUGCAUAGGUGGCUGUUUAUAAUUGGACAAUUGAAAAAAAGA